rnacentral:lncRNA from 1 species
GAACACUUUGAUUUCUUUUCAAUCAUAGUUUAAGCUAGGAUUGGAAUUUUGAGCUGAAAGCUAAUUCCUGAGUAGCAUUAAAUUUCCUACCUCCUUGCAGGGAAAGGCCACAAUAUUCUUAAAUUUUAACUUGUGGGCGAAAAAUUGCAAAGCUAAAAUGGGUUUUGAGGAAACAAAAAAUCAAGAAACAAUGAAACAGAAAAAAUAUUAGGUGGAGCUACAGAUCUACAAGUAUUGAAAUCCAAGGACAGAAGAAGAGUGGCUUAUGGAUGAUACAAUAGAGAAAAGGAAACAAAAUACAGAGGCAACAGGUAGCAGAAAGAUGAAGGUGUCUUGGCCUAGAUAACUAA